AACAUCUGAGCAAACAAAAACCAUAGAUCAAUGGCAGAGCAAGAGAAAGAAGAGAGAAUGAGAGAAAACAAUCCCAGAGUGGAAUAGGAGGCCUGCUCACAAAGGGGGUUCGUCUCCUCUGUAAUUUCCAGGUGUCAGCUGUCAUCCACAUCCUGAAGGUCAUCCAAAGGUCAUGUGUUGUUAUAAAGGGUUGAUGUAUUGCUGUGACAAACGCAUGACCAAAAGCUACCUGGGCAGGAAAGGAACUCUUUGCCUUGUCCUGAUCACAGUCCAUCACUCAGGGAAGCCAGGGCAGGUACUCAAGGCAGGAACCCGGAGGUUGGAAUUUAAGCAGAGGCCAAGAAGGAACAUUGAUUACUGGCUUGGUCCUCAUGGCUUGCUCACUUUGCUUUCUUAUACAAUCCAAGACUGCCAAGGGGAGACAUUGACCCCAGUGAGCUGGACCCUCCCACAUUAGCAAUUUAUCAGGGCAAUGCCCCACAGACUUGCAGUCUGCAGGCCAAUCAGUAAGAGACAUUAGCUCAAGUGGGAUUCCCUCUUCCCAGCUUGUGUUACUUUGACAAAAAAAAAUCUAUCUAACACAGUUGGUCUCCAGAAGAGUAAGUACUAUUGGGACGACCUUAGAAGAAGUGAGGUCAUUGCAUGUGAAGGGGUUGCAGCCUCUUCCUUCUCCUUUGCAUCUUGGCCAGGAGAUGAGCAGUUUUUCUGGUCACAUAUUUCCGUUGUGAUGUGCUGUGUUGCCUCAGGCCCUAACAAGGAGCUUAUCUGGCCAUAAACUUUCAAAACCUUGAGAAACAAACAAACCAAUCAACCAACCUUUUUUUCUUUUUGUGUUGAUCAUUAGUAUUUGUUAUCGGGAUGGAAACAUUAAUACAGUGCCUCUGCAGGACCUACUGAGCAGUGGUUGUUAGGCCAGCUUGCUCCUCGAUGGAUGUUGGGACAGGCGUUGAUGAGAUGACUCUUUCCCGACCUCUAGCUCACUCUCCUUUGACCCUGUCCCCUUCAUUUUGUGCAUCUCUGAUGACUCAUCGUAGAACUCUAUGCUUGCCAUAGAUUCAGGGUCUUGAAGGGUUUGGUUGUUUUCCUUUAUUGGUUAAGGAAAUAUGAAGGCAAAACAAACUUUCUCUCAGAUGAAACAAGCUUAGAACUUCACCCGUCACAGUCAGUCUGGCUGCUCUUGGAUGUCACAAACUCCUGUCAUUCCGAGUCCUAUCUCAUUGGGGUCUAGGAGAGAAGAAAAGGAAGAGGUUUUUCAAUGUGAAAUGGCCCCCAGAGUCCAGGGUUUGAAGGCUUGGCAUCCAGCUGAUGGAACUGAUAUGGAAGGCUGUGACUCUUUCAAUGACGUAUUUUUACUUUUUAUUUAUGUGCAUGUUCAUAUGUGUGUCAUACAUGUGCAGAAGCUGCUGGAGGCAGGCGGGGGGGAUGGGGUGUGGUCAGAUCCCUGAGAGCUAUGGUGGUUGUAAGUGUGAGUGCUUGGAAUCAAACUCAGGUCCUCUUGAGGAGCAACAAGGUAAGAACAGAGGUCUUCUAGCCCAGCCCACUUUACGUCUUCUGUUUCCGGACUGUAGAUGCAGCCACACCUUCCUGGCUGUAAUGGACUGUACCAUCUUUAACUAUGAGCCAAAACACACCCUUCCUUCCUCAGAUGCCUUUUGGUCAGGCAAGGAGAAAAAUAUUACAGAAGGAUGAGGUCAAAAGGUCACUAACCUUUUGUAUUUGCAAUCUAAUAGCCAUGUUUAAAGAAAUACGACUGAUUUAAGAAGUGGCGUCUCACUUAAACUAUUCAAAUGCCAUUUUAGUACACAAUCAGCAUAAAGCUAUCACUUUACAUUUUCUUUGUAGUAAGUCCUUGAAUUUUUGUUUGCUUGAUUGUUUGGUUUUGUGUUUUUAAAUGUUUAAGUUUUAUUCUGUGUGCAUGUAUGAAUGCGCACCAUGUGUGUACAGGAGCCUGCAGAGGUCAAAUCACUGGAUCCCCUGGGAACUGGAGUUGCAGAUGGUUGCUGGGAACCAAGCCCAGGUCUUCCCCAAGAGCACUAAGUGAGUCAUCUUUGUAGUCACCUGUUUGUUUCUGAGACAGGAUCUUGCUGCAUGUCCUUGAAUAUCCUGGAACUCAACUUUGUAAAUCAGGCUGACCUGGAACUCUCCAGAGACCUGCAUACCUGUUCCAGGAGUGCUGGGAUUUAAGGCACCUUCCAGUUCAAGCCCAGUGACUUCUACACAACUCCCUAGGAGCCUUCAGAGUGUAAACAACAAUGAACUUCAUUUGGACGUCCCUUGAGCACAGAGGAUUAUUCUGGAGUGCAGGGCUUGAACGGCAGAGCCAGGAAGGCACCACCCAUGGGUUCACCGCGCUUUCAGGGAUUUUCGUAGAGAUUGGUUUCUGCCCCUGCUGCUGGCCUCCUCUCUUUCUGAGCAUGCAGUCUCCAACAAGAACACAAACACAGUGGGUGCCUCCUGGAUGGAAGGAGACUGGAACACCCUUUAGGGAGCGAGCCUAGCAGUUCCAUAGAAGCGGGGUUAAGAGGACUUCAGCUAAAAACGUGUUUGAACUUGAAAUCCCAAUAGAAAGGUGGUUUUUUUAUUUUCACAGUGAACUUUGUACAACAUAUUCUCAUUGUGAGAGGAAAAAGAAGAACGGGUUAAGAGAUAGCUCAGUCAGUAACACUGAAUGAUCUACGUUCGAUCCUCAGAACCUACUUAAAAAUGGAAAAAGAAACAGCUGGAUACAGAUGUGUGUGCUUGUUCUCUAAGUCCUAGGGGAGCAGAGAUGCGAUUCCUGACGCUACCUGGCCACCCAGCCUAGGCUAUCCAGCAAACACUGAGAGAGACUGUGUUUCAAAAUAGAAGGAUAAUGGACAGUGCUGGAAGACUGAAGCCAAGAUUGCUGUCUUGCCCACAGGCACAUGUAUGAGACCUGCUUCUAGCUCCUGCCGUUGUGAUUUCUCUGCAGUCAUCAGUUGUAGCAUGGAAAUGUAAGCUAAAUCAUUUCCCCCUGUA